CCUACGGGGGGCAGCAGUGAGGAAUAUUGGUCAAUGGGCGGGAGCCUGAACCAGCCAAGUCGCGUGAGGGAAGACGGUCCUAUGGAUUGUAAACCUCUUUAGGCGGGGAGCAGAGGUCCGGACGUGUCCGGGCCGGGAGAGUACCCGGAGAAAAAGCAUCGGCUAACUCCGUGCCAGCAGCCGCGGUAAUACGGAGGAUGCGAGCGUUAUCCGGAUUUAUUGGGUUUAAAGGGUGCGUAGGCGGGCAUUUAAGCCGGCGGUCAAAUGUCGGGGCUCAACCCCGGCCUGCCGUCGGAACUGGGUGCCUUGAGUGGGCGAGAAGUAUGCGGAAUGCGUGGUGUAGCGGUGAAAUGCAUAGAUAUUGCGCAGAACUCCGAUUGCGAAGGCAGCAUACCGGCGGCGAUCUGACGCUGAGGCACGAAAGCGUGGGUAUCGAACAGGAUUAGAUACCCCAGUAGUC
rnacentral:rRNA from 1 species